CUGCCAUGGCCUCCAGCCUGCUUGAGUAGAAAGAAGCCAGACGCACAACAUUAAGGGAAAGACAUUUCCAGUCUCAAAUCUCCAGUUCUGAAGAUUUGCUUAUCACACCCAACUCCUCAGAGACACCGUUCAUUAUAAGCCCAAGCCCCAGAAUUAAGUGUACGUGAUGGUGCUCAGAGAUGCUCACAGGCCGCUGCACUGAUGAGAUGAUGUCCACUCCUAAGGAAAGGGCCAGUUUGUAGAGAUGGUCCACGUGUGCCUGCUUUUCCUGAGAGCGACGGAGGUGAAUCUGGAUCUCAUGAGCAUCACCCAGUUCCUUCAGCUGCU